CCUACGGGAGGCAGCAGUGAGGAAUAUUGGUCAAUGGACGAGAGUCUGAACCAGCCAAGUAGCGUGAAGGAUGACUGCCCUAUGGGUUGUAAACUUCUUUUAUAUGGGAAUAAAACAGGGUAUGCAUACCCUCUUGUAUGUAACAUAUGAAUAAGGAUCGGCUAACUCCGUGCCAGCAGCCGCGGGAAUACGGAGGAUCCGAGCGUUAUCCGGAUUUAUUGGGUUUACAGGGAGCGUAGGUGGCAUGUUAAGUCAGUUGUGAAAGUUUGCGGCUCAACCGUAAAAUUGCAGUUGAAACUGGCAGUCGUGAGUACAGUAGAGGUGGGCGGAAUUCGUGGUGUAGCGGUGAAAUGCUUAGAUAUCACGAAGAACUCCGAUUGCGAAGGCAGCUCACUGGACUGCAACUGACACUGAUGCUCGAAAGUGUGGGUAUCAAACAGGAUUAGAUACCCGAGUAGUC
rnacentral:rRNA from 1 species